AUAUGGACUGAUAUUUAGGGAAGGUCUUUAUUCCAGGCAGGGGAAGUGAGUAUAUUCAGGAAAAACAGGUAAAGUUUGUUAAAAUACAAUAGGAAUUUGAGAAGAAGGCCCAGAGCUACCUUUAUAGCUACCUUCUUAUUGCAAAAUCCUUCAACCCUCAGUGACCUCCCUACUGGCCCCCCAGCCAGGAUGCUCUCAUUGUGUGGUGUUGGUACAAGUGCAAAGCAAGUUCAGAUACCACCACUUUGCAGUUUCUGCCUAGCCUCCAGAGAAAACUCAGAUGCUUAGCAUGUAGGCCGUCAGCUCAGGGUUCCUCUGUCCAUAGUAACCUGUAAAUUCACUGAGUAGUGGUUUUGCAAUUGAAGCAAAUUAGGUCAUUUUCCAUCUGCUAAAUCCACUAGUCAUAUUCUAGCCAUGAUUAUCACAUUAACUACAGUCCCAGCAAGUGAUUUUGGGGUCAGCGUUCCAAGUAGUACGUCGUGGACAAAUUUAAUAGUCCUUUGUUGUUGAAGAAAUACUCUGUUAUGGAUGGUACUAGGGACUAUAUGGACUUACUUGUUAAAGUGCCUGAAAAUAAUAUAUAAAAAGAUUUUGUGGAGGUAUAUACAAGAGAAAAUGUGUGCUACACAGGACCCUCACUGGGGUGGGACUAGGUCCUGCUUUUGUAGUAAGGGGUCAGUGGACAUCAGCAAUAGUUUCUCUGUAGCCCUGAGAGUUACUUUAGAGCAUCAUCAGUUACUUCUGUGAUCAGUGAACAUGAUGCAAAAUCCACAGAGGAAGGGGAUAAGUGAUAUGUUAUUUUUUCUGACUAUAUUUGUUUAUGUAGAAAAUAUAUUUGCAUAAGUAUUUUCUAGAGUUUUUUCUUUAAACUUAUAGUUACCUUUCAUGUAAUCUUAACACAAGUAGUAUCUGUCUUACUUCUUGCUUCCUAUGUAUCUCCAGGAGUUGCCUCCUUAUAACGGUUUUGGACUAGUGGAAGAUUCUGCUCAGAAUUGUUUUGCUCUCAUUCCAAAAGCUCCAAAAAAAGAUGUUAUUAAAAUGCUGGUGAAUGAUAACAAGGUGCUUCGUUAUUUGGCUGUACUGGAAUCCCCCAUCCCAGAAGACAAAGACCGCAGAUUUGUCUUCUCUUACUUUCUAGCUACCGACAUGAUCAGUAUCUUUGAGCCUCCUGUUCGCAAUUCUGGUAUCAUUGGGGGCAAGUACCUUGGCAGGACUAAAGUUGUUAAACCAUACUCUACAGUGGACAACCCUGUCUACUAUGGCCCCAGUGACUUCUUCAUUGGUGCUGUGAUUGAAGUGUUUGGUCACCGGUUCAUCAUCCUUGAUACAGACGAGUAUGUUUUGAAAUACAUGGAGAGCAACGCUGCCCAGUAUUCACCAGAAGCACUCGCGUCAAUUCAGAACCAUGUCCGAAAGCGAGAAGCGCCUGCUCCAGAAGCAGAAAGCAAGCAAACUGAAAAGGAUCCAGGCGUGCAGGAAUUGGAAGCAUUAAUAGACACAAUUCAGAAGCAACUGAAAGAUCACUCAUGCAAAGACAACAUUCGUGAGGCAUUUCAAAUUUAUGACAAGGAAGCUUCAGGAUAUGUGGACAGAGACAUGUUCUUUAAAAUCUGUGAAUCGCUUAAUGUCCCAGUGGAUGACUCCUUGGUUAAGGAGUUAAUCAGGAUGUGCUCUCAUGGAGAAGGCAAGAUUAACUACUAUAACUUUGUUCGUGCUUUCUCAAACUGACCUGCUGAUGAGAAAAUGCAAGACAAUUUUUGAUAUUGGAACUAUGCUUUGAAAUACACCUUACACUCUUCAUAGAGGCAUUUACAGAGUUCCUGAAGCUUUAUUUCUGUUUUGGUUCUUAUUUCACUCCUACUGAAGUCGAAACUAAAUUGGAUCUAAUAGGAUCUAAGAUUGGUGCCUUAUUUAGGGUGAUAGGGGUAUAGCAAUGUCUAAUUUUGUGUGUCAGAUUGACUUGGCCACAGGGGGCCCAAAUAUUUCCUUUCUUUCUUUUUAAAAAAAUAUUUUAAAUUUUUUUAGAGAUGGGAUCUCACUCUGUCAUACAGGCUGGAGUGUGGUGGCACUAUCCUAGUUCUAUGAAGCCUCAGACUCCUGGGCUCAAGUGAUCCUCCCACUUCAACCUCCCCAGUAGCUGGGACAACAGGCUCAAGCCACCAUGCCCAGCUAAUUUUUAAAAUUAUUUUGUAGAGACAAGGUCUCGCUAUGUUGCCUGAACUUGUCUCAAACUCAUGAGCUCCAGAAAUUCUCCCACCUCAGCCUCCAAAAGUGCUGGGAUUAUAGGCAUGAGCCACUGUGCCCAGCCUCAGAUAUUUCAUUAUUCUGGGGGUUUCUCUGAAGGUAUUUUUGGAUGAGAUAAACAUUUGAAUCAGAAGACUAAGUAAAACGGAUAGUCCUCCCUAAUGUGGGUGGGCCUCCUCCAAUCAUUUGAAGACAUGAGUAGAAUAAAAAGGCUGACCUUUCCCCAGCUAAGAGAAUUCCUCCUGCCUGACUGGCUUCAAAUUGGAACAUCAGCCUUUUCUUGCCUUCAGACACAAAUGGAAACAUCAGCUGUUGGUCUGGAGCCUGCUGACCUUCAGACUGGACCUAAACCAUCAGCUUUCCUAAGUCUUAGGCCUUUGGAUUCAGACUGGAAUUAUACCUUUAGCUCUCCUGGGUCUCCAGCUUGCCAAUUUACCCUGCAGAUCUUGGGACUUGUAAGCCUUCAUAAUUGUGUGAGCAAUUUCUUAUAACUCUCUCUUUCUCUCUCUCUACAUACAUAUAUAUAUAUAUUUUAUAUGUACACAUUC
rnacentral:sRNA from 1 species